GUGGGCGAGGCCCUGAACGGCAUUCAAGAUGGUAAACCAGUGAUUCUGGUGGUGAUGCAUCACACCUUCGAUCCUGAACACACUGUAGCUGAAAGCAGGAGACAGGUGGUGGCCAACCCGAACGUCUUACUCACUGUGGAUUGUCUGUUCCAUGAGCACAGCCUCCUGAACUGUAACCUCAAUGAUGACGCUUGGUUGAAGAUCAAGGCUUUGCUUGGAUCCAGUUCAUUGAUUCAUAGCUGGAAAUUAAAAUCUUCGGCCAAAA